GCAUGUUUUCAAUUUUGCUGUGAGGAAAUGAUAAGAAAAUCUUUUUAUGGGAAAUUGUGAAAUAAAAAGUGAGUUUGUUUUGAUUGUUUACUUUAUGUAUGUUGUUGCACACUGUUUUCCAGAUAGUUUAAAGUUUAUUUGGUGUAAAUUUCUUAAUUAAUUACGGUUUUUUAAUCAAAGUUUCUUUGUACCAUACCUUUCUAGUAUAGAUUUCACAAUAGCGUGCCAGGCAUGUGGGACACAUACUGCUUAUAUACUGUAGAAUUUAAUACUGUCGAGAAUAUCAAUAUGGAACCUGAACUAUUAAAUACCAGAAUAAUUCCAGUAUACCAUUAAGCUACAAUAACAUAUUAAGACAACGUUUUAUAACAGCUUAUAAGCACUUUAUACAUAAUUUUGUGAAAAAAACAUUUUCUUCAGUUGAAAGACAUGCUCAGUAAAGUCUGCAUAAAUUCAGCGCAAGCAUAUUUUAUUAAACUGUCCGGAGACCAGAAUGUGCGGCACAUUUUACAACCUUAAUCAUUACUUGAAUAGAAACAUGUUCACAAGUACAACAAAUUUACUUAUACCUAGUUCAUCUUCGGAAUCGUCAGAACCUUUUUCAGAGCCUCGAUCAUCAAAGCUGACAAAACCACCAUCUGAGUGUGCUCGAGUCGAUGCACCGCCAAGUGUUCGGCGAAUUAACUCUAUUUCUUUAACUAAACUCUCUCUGUCUACAUCAUCCACAUCUGAAUCUUGUUUGUCCUCCAUGGCAAUAAAUAACACCAAUAAAAAUGGAAAUAUUGCGCUGAAAUAAAGCACUUUAUUCAGUUUAUAUACAAACGUUCAACUUCAAAUCUCCCACAUGCAACAAGAGCUGACGAUCGUCGUUGAUCGAACGUAUAGAAAGAUAUUAGAUUUUAGG